rnacentral:rRNA from 1 species
AGCGAACGCUGGCGGCAGGCUUAACACAUGCAAGUCGAGCGGACCUUUCGGGGUCAGCGGCGGACGGGUGAGUAACGCGUGGGAACGUGCCUUCCGGUUCGGAAUAACCCUGGGAAACUAGGGCUAAUACCGGAUACGCCCUUAUGGGGAAAGGUUUACUGCCGGAAGAUCGGCCCGCGUCUGAUUAGCUAGUUGGUGGGGUAACGGCCUACCAAGGCGACGAUCAGUAGCUGGUCUGAGAGGAUGAUCAGCCACACUGGGACUGAGACACGGCCCAGACUCGUACGGGAGGCAGCAGUGGGGAAUAUUGGACAAGGGGCGCAAGCCUGAUCCAGCCAUGCCGCGUGAGUGAUGAAGGCAUUAGGGUUGUAAAGCUCUUUUAUCCGGGACGAUAAUGACGGUACCGGAGGAAUAAGCCCCGGCUAACUUCGUG